CAUGGCAGAAGCCUCCCCCAAUCAUUCGCUUUUCCCCGACGGGCCGGCCUGUUGAGGGCCCAACCGAGUCAGACUCACAGCCGGUUCAAUCCGACCGGAUUGGAACCAGACGAAACCCGUACCGACCAUUCCCAACGGUCAAAAACCGGUCCAUUGACGUCACACCCAGACCCACAUUCAGACAAACUACCGUAACGGACCCGACCCACCC
rnacentral:lncRNA from 1 species